UAAAGAAGCAGUUACGUUUUACUGUUUGUCUUAUGUUUUUUGGGGUAUAGGAAGAUUAGGAAAGCAAAUCUUAAACCAAUGAAAACUUCUCUGAUUUGGAAUCAUAUUUUUUCGUUGAACAUUAUCCAAUUGCUAUAAAAGACAAUUUUAUAAAAAGCAAAAAAAAAAAAAAGAAAAUUAUCAGUGGAUUUCACAGAUGUAUAAGAUCCUUGUCAAAAAUGAAAUGCAUAAUUUGAUGUUUCAUAUUCAUGUGAUUAUGCAAUAUACCACAGCGUUAAAUCUGUAAGUAGCACUGCUGUUAACACGUAGCAUUCUGUAAACCUACCUCAGUAUGAAUAUGACCCAGUAUAAGGGUGGAGUUCAAUAUGUUCUAUAAGCAGGCAGAGUUUACAUCAUCUGACUGACUCAGGUAACUGGACAUUUCAGAUGGUCACAUGGAAGUGUUAUGCUUUCUGGGGCAUUUUAGUUGUACUUCAGAAUUGCUUAUUUGCAUGAGCUGAUGUCAGCUGACUGAAAUAAACAUUCAGCCUCAGCUAAAAUACUCAGCUAAAAUAUUAGCAAUUUAUGCUGAGGCCAAGUAGUGCUUUAAAUCUCCCGUGUCUGGGUGUGUGCCAUAACACUCAAAUACAUGUAUUCUGGUUUUCAGAAUCAAAUCCAUGGAGCAAUGGAAAUUUCUGAAGAUCACUUUACCAAAUAUAAAAAUGAUGGUGAAUUCAAAGUGUGUUUGACCAGGAAGAGUACCAUGACUACAUGUAUCGACUUUGCAGAAAAGAGUGUUAUUUUCUAGUUUGUCAGCUGAAAUAUCUGACUUUUGCUUUAGUAAACAUAUCAUCUGGUUUUUGCUUUAGUAUCUUUCAUGUAAGUGUCAUGGUUACACUGAAGAUGAGGACUACUUAAAUAAGUUCAGGCAGUGCCUAAUUGCAGGCAAAGUAUGAUUCAAAGCUUUUAUGGGUAAAAGCUAUGCCAUGGCAACUUUGCCAAUCACCUGUGUAUUGAUGUGCUCAUGCAGACCCACCAUUGAGGGUAUUUCUCAAGCACAACCUUCUGGUACCAGCGAACUAGAAAUAGGUUUAUGAACACUGUGGACAGUUGUUGGUCUGCUGAGUCAUGACAGAAAAUAUACAGUAGCAAGGGGUAGCUUACGUUCCACCAGUACAUAUUUCUAAUUUAUGUUUUUGUCACCCAAGAAGUCCGUGAUAAAAAACAUUUCUUGCACAAUGGAAUUGGCAUGGGAUUGUAUUAAUUUUUCUUUUUCUUGAUUGUAUUCCAACAAGCCUAGUAAAACUUUAAGAGAUCAGGGAUAAGUUUUAAAAAAAACUAAGAGCUUGCUCUUUUGUGAUGCCUAAGCAUAUCAAGUAAAAGGAAGUUAUACUCUCUGAAACCACAUGAAUAUAAUAAUGUCUUGUAACACAAUAUUCAGGAAAAGGUAUUUCUGUGCUAAUUGCUCCUCAUAUUCUCUUCUACAAAUUCAUCCCCUUUUUUUUCUUUUUAUAGCAGAUCUAGACAUUUGGAUCUUUAAAACCAAUUUAGUUAUGUAAAUGGCAGAUUGAAGUGCCUUUUUUUCAGAGUUUGAGCAAUGCUAGUUAUUUAUCAGUAUUCUGCCAAUACUGUCACAAGACUUUUC
ensembl:lncRNA